rnacentral:rRNA from 1 species
GACGAACGCUGGCGGCGUGCCUAACACAUGCAAGUCGAGCGGAGUUGACAAGAGGAAGUUUUCGGAUGGAAUCUUGCCAGCUUAGCGGCGGACGGGUGAGUAACGCGUGAGCGACCAACCUUGCACAGGGGGAUAACGGACCGAAAGGUUCACUCAUACCGCAUGAGACCACGGCGUUGCAUGACACAGGGGUCAAAGGAGGAAUCCGGUGCAAGACGGGCUCGCGUCCGAUUAGGUAGUUGGAGGGGUAACGGCCCACCAAGCCUAUGAUCGGUAGCCGACCUGAGAGGGUGAUCGGCCACAUUGGAACUGAGAUACGGUCCAAACUCCUACGGGAGGCAGCAGUGGGGAAUAUUGGGCAAUGGGGGAAACCCUGACCCAGCAACGCCGCGUGAAGGAAGAAGGUUUUCGGAUUGUAAAGUUCUUUUCUGAGGGAAGAAUUAUGACGGUACCUCAGGAAUAAGCACCGGCUAACUCCGUGCCAGCAGCCGCCGUAA